CUGGUUGAUUCUGCCAGUAAUAUAUGCUUGGAUGAAGGAUUAAGCCAUGCAAAUGUAAGAAUAAGCCGGUUUCGGCAAAUCUGUGGAAGGCUAAGUAAAAAAGGGGGAAAGAAAGAGGGGGAGAAAAUUUGUGGAUAAUGAAAGGAAAUCUUUCAAUAAUACAAAAAGUGUAGCAAUGAAAAAUGAAUGGAAUUGCUACUGAUAAGAUGGGCAACCAUCGACCCCUCAUCUGACUCUUAUGUAUCAAUUAGAUUUUAGGGUAAGGGCCUAAAAUGAUGAUAACGCAUACAGAGAAUUAGGGUUCGAUUCUGGAGAGGGAGCAUGAGAGAUGGCUACCACUUCUAAGGAAGGCAGCAGGCGCGCAAAUUGCCCAAUGUGGAAAUCACGAGGCAGCGAACAUCAAUAACAAUGAGAGACUGAUUAACAGUUUUUCAAUUGGAAUGAGAUAUGAGAAGAGAAAAAAGCGAGAAUCAAGUGGAGGGCAAGUCUGGUGCCAGCAGCCGCGGUAAU
rnacentral:rRNA from 1 species